UCCCUUAUUGAAUAUUUUCAGAAGAUAAGAAAUGACAGUGUCAUUCGAACUUGCAUUAUCAACGGUCAAAGUCAUUACCCUUUCAAUGCCCCAAUCCUUCAAAUUCUUUUCAAUGGUUUUACCAAUAGUAUCAUCUUUUUGAUUCUCAAUUGGACAAAAAUUAAGUAUCCUUUUAUGUAAUCUUCAAUCAGAAUCUAUGAAAUGGACAGUUAAUACCAUGUAAUUUAUAUUUUGUCCUGAUGUCCAAAAAUCCAUAGUGAGAGAAACUCUAUACUUCUUAUUCACAAACAUGUAUUUCAAAUGCUUUUUCUCAUUAACAUAUAACUUAAGCACAUCUCUAGCCACAGUAAACCGAGAUGAAACAACAAAUCUAUGUUGACUUGCACAUGUUAAUCUAUCGACAAAUUUCUUAAAUCCUUUACCCUCCACAAACUUGAAUGACAUUCGUCAACAAUUACCAUUUCAACCAAUGCUUCCCGACAACUCUCUAAACUAUAUGACUCACAUUCAAGUUUGUGACGUAUUAUCCCUAAAUAUUGUCUUUGACUUUAGUAUUGAAAGCUAAUGUCAUUUGGUUAGAUAUCUCUUGUUCUGGUAAUGGUAUUUUUUACAAUUUUUCAAAUGAUUCUUCAUAGUCCCAGUACCAUUACGUUUGGAAUGACAUGCAUAGACAACUCCAUAGUACUUACAUUGAGCAUGAGGGUCUUUAGAAUCACCUUUUAGCCUCUCAAAAUGAUCCUAAGCCAUGGAUUUUUUCACCGCAUUCCUUCUUUUUGGUGGAUUUGGAACAUCUGAUGUCUCAUUUGCUGAAUUAACAUCAACAAAUCUGUAUUGACAUCUGUUUCUUUUGCAUCUUGUUUAUUUUUUGAAUCAUCAGUUGUAGUUCCAUCAAACUCCAUAUCCGUUGAAUCCACGUAGCUGAACCACAACAUGUCAGACAUCAGUAUCACACAAUUCACAAAAACUCAAAUUGGAAUCUACAAUCUACAAUAUAUUGAAACGGCUGAAAUGGAAGACAUCAAGAUGAAGAUACGAACCUACGAAAAAAAGAAGAAAGUUGGACUGGAAGUCUACCGGCUGGAACAACAUGCGUGCGAAGCGGCUGGCGUAAUGAAGAGAAGAAGAUCAGCGAAAUGGUUGGCGUAAUGAAGUAACAAAGAAAAGAAGAUCAGUGAAGUGGCUGGCGUAACGAAGAAAAGAAGAUCGGUUGGCGUUCAUGUAGAGUGGUGGAAGAAUGAAGUCUGCGGUUGGAAGUGAAACAAAGAAAAGAAGAUCGAGGACAAGACAAAGAAGAAAAGAAGAAAGAAGAAAGUUGGAACGAAGUCUGGCUGGAAGAACGAAGUCUGCGGCUGGAAGAACGAAGUUGGUUGGCGUGCGGAGCGGAUGAUGUGUGUGGCUGCGGCCUGCGGGUGCGGAAGAAAGAAGAAAGAAGAAAGACACUAAAUUUACCCUAAAUCAAUCUAAUAACAUUUUACAUUAUUUUUUUUAAAUAAUUUGGUUGGGUUGGGUCUCGACCCGACCCCUUACGCACUCCGACUGCCUAUACCUUCGAUUAGAAAAACUGAAAAAUUGACUCGAUCGAUUUAUUUAGAUUUCCGACCGUCCGACUUAAUUUCGGUCUGUUUGGGUCGGUCGUGUCAGUUUUUCAGUCUAACAUGCUCACCCCUAAUGGUUAAUGUGUUUGGUUGGACUUACUAUAACGGUUAAAAUAAUUGUUAUUAA